CCAGAAACUCCUCAUGAGAGUUCUUGAGUUUGAAGAGCUCAGUGCUGAGAGAUCUGGCCUCUUUCUGGGAGCUCUCCAGCUCAGUCUGAGACUCCUCAAACUUCUGCUUCCACUCAGCCAGGACCUGAAAAACAUACAGCUCCUCAGUCUUCUGGAUGGCAUCAGUUUCAUACUUGGUUCUCCACUGAGCCACCUCAGCAUUAGCCCCUCAACAGCAUUCUUGGCCUGUUGUCACUUGAGGUCUUCAAUCUGCUGAACGUUGGACUGCUUACCUCUGCUUUUGUCCUGUAUUCACUCAUCUGGUCCUCUAGAGUACGGCACAUUUUCUCCAGGUUAAGAUCUUCCUUCAUUCUCUCCUCCAUCUGCUGCUUGUCAUUCUCCAGGUCCAUUAGGCUCUCCUGGGUCAACUUUAAAUCUUCCUCCAGCUUUCUCUUGGCUCUCUCAAGGUUAUCCAGAGUUUGCUGAUGGGCCUCCAGCACAGCAGUGUCAUUACUCUUCCCUCCAAACUUUCCACCAAACCAAUUAAGUUGAGUUUUAACAUCACAAGGACAAAGAAAAGUGUUUACCUUGUUCUCUGUGGCAUGCUUUUCCUUCUCCACUUUACCCAGAGUGAGCUCCAGAUCAUCAAUGUCCUUCUUGAGUUCUGAGCACUCAUCUUCCAGCUUCCUCUUCUUAGAAGUUGACCAUAAAUAACUUGAAUGUGGGAUCCUCCAGAUUUACAAAACGUGCCAGUCAUGUGCCUCUGUAGGAAAAUGGCACAAAUUGACCACAGGGUGGCCCUGUAAUGACCAAUUGAUUUACAACUUCAGAACCAGCAUGUUAACCAAGAGUUACAACAUGUGGCAAGGUCUUUAAAAGCAUGUACAUAACACAUGGCCAAAAUGCUUUUAAUUACUUAUCAGUAACCAGAUUUGGAUAUAUUAUAUGGUAGUAGCCAGAUCUGAAUCUGCAACAUGGUGGCAUUAUACCAAGUACGCAUUUGUAUCCUUUUACUUGACCCAAGGGGUAUGAGGUCUUGGAUUUGUAAUUGUCACACUCUUAAAGAUCAAGAUAGCUGUCAGGUCAUCAUGUGUACAGUGUGGGGCAUGUACUGGUGACAUAGCUAGAAAGGGUGUUACCUCCUUCAAGACCUGUGCAUAUGACCCCUGUAUGUAUAGUGGAGCCCUUUUAACUCUUACAACUUCACACCUUUCACUUCGCUUCAUUUUUGAGGUCCUGUAGCUUCCCGAGCUGAACAUACCCUCGCCUGCCCUUCAAUUAAUUUCUAAGAGUCCCAUUCCUAGCUGUCACAUGUGUGUGUGUGCCUCAUUUCACACAGAACAUUAGGAUUCUGUGUGAAAGGUUCACUUACACUUGAAGGGGUUAGGGAGGUUAUAUGAGUUGUGCUUUAUGUACUUGAACACAUGGAUUCACCUUAACCUACUCCCCUGUCAUCCUUUGUCUCCACGGGCCAUCUCUACUGCUCCCACACGGGCUAAGACCAUCUCUUCCCUCACCAAGGCACGUGGGUUCCCUGACAGGGGGUGAAAGAAAGAUAUAGUCGGCAUACAGGAUUCUGUUGGGGAAGCCCUUUCUGCAGAUCCUGAUGCCUUCCAGCACACCGUUACAGCGCAGCUGGUGCAUGACCAGAGGAUUCUCCAUGGCCCCAGGAGUCUUGGUCUCGUUGGGGAU